AACCUCCGCAAUGUGAGAAAUCGCGACGGGGGGAUCCCAAGUGCCAUUCUUAACGGGAUGGCUUUUCAUUAGUGUAAAGAGCUUUUGGAAUAAGAGCUGGGCAAGACCGGUGCCAGCCGCCGCGGUAACACCGGCAGCUCUAGUGGUAGCAGUUUUUAUUGGGCCUAAAGCGUCCGUAGCCGGUUUAAUAAGUCUCUGGUGAAAUCCUGUAGCUUAACUGUGGGAAUAGCUGGAGAUACUAUUAGACUUGAGACCGGGAGAGGUUAGAGGUACUCCCAGGGUAGAGGUGAAAUUCUGUAAUCCUGGGAGGACCGCCUGUUGCGAAGGCGUCUAACUGGAACGGUUCUGACGGUGAGGGACGAAAGUUAGGGGCGCGAACCGGAUUUAGAUACCCGGGUAGUCCUAACUGUAAACGAUGCGGACUUGGUGUUGGGGUGGCUUUGAGCUGCUCCAGUGCCGAAGGGAAGCUGUUAAGUCCGCCGCCUGGGAAGUACGGUCGCAAGACUGAAACUUAAAGGAAUU
rnacentral:rRNA from 1 species